rnacentral:rRNA from 1 species
AGCGAACGCUGGCGGCAGGCCUAACACAUGCAAGUCGAACGAACCUUUCGGGGUUAGUGGCGGACGGGUGAGUAACACGUGGGAACGUGCCUUUAGGUUCGGAAUAACUCAGGGAAACUUGUGCUAAUACCGAAUGUGCCCUUCGGGGGAAAGAUUAAUCGCCUUUAGUGCGGCCCGCGUCUGAUUAGCUAGUUGGUUGAGGUAAUGGCUCACCAAGGCGACGAUCAGUAGCUGGUCUGAGAGGAUGAUCAGCCACAUUGGGACUGAGACACGGCCCAAACUCCUACGGGAGGCAGCAGUGGGGAAUCUUGCGCAAUGGGCGAAAGCCUGACGCAGCCAUGCCGCGUGAAUGAUGAAGGUCUUAGGAUUGUAAAAUUCUUUCACCGGGGACGAUAAUGACGGUACCCGGAGAAGAAGCCCCGGCUAACUUCGUG